ACUUUGAAACUGCGAAUGGCUCAUUAUAUCAGUUAUAGUUUAUUAGAAAUAUUUUACUACUUGGAUAACCGUAGUAAUUCUAGGGCUAAUACAUGAGUAAAACCUCAACUUCGGAAGAGGUGUGUUUAUUAGUAUGAAAACCAUAUAUCUUCGGAUAUAAUAGUGAGUAAUAAUAACCUUUCAUAUCGUAUGUCGUAAGAUAACGAUAGUUCUUUCAAGUUUCUGCCCUAUCAGCUUUCGAUGGUAGUAUAUGGGACUACCAUGGCAGUAACGGGUAACGAAGAAUUUGGGUUCGAUUUCGGAGAGGGAGCCUGAGAGAUGGCUACCACAUCCAAGGAAGGCAGCAGGCGCGUAAAUUACCCAAUCCUGACAUAGGGAGGUAGUGACAAUAAAUCACAAUGCGGAACUUUU
rnacentral:rRNA from 1 species